CUCUGCGGUCAGUCCAACAGCAUUGUAGGAUGUGGGAAGCGACGGCACCGUGACGUCAUCAUGCAUCAACAGCAAUACACAGGCGAAAAGAGAGAAGGAAAGCACCAAUGAGACAAUAUUACAAUAUCGAAAUAAAUUGGAGUAUAAAACUCGAUUUAUGAAGAAUGGAAAAAUAGCUAGAAACAUAGGUGUUUAGCGUGCACAUUGAAGCAGAUAUUACUUUGACAGAGAAAAAUGAUCACAGAUGCAUGCAAGAGAUGAGUCGUUAGCUUAGUGCCUCUCUUAGCCAGUAAUCAUAUGGAAGACAAAGUUGCAAGUGGUCUAUUGCUGGCAGAUUAAGUUCUGAGCCUAUUUACAGGACAAUGCGACACAUUUACGUCCAUUUAAAACACGACCACGAUGGUUUACUUUCUACCUGUAGCAAACUGCCAUAAAAGUAAAACAAAUGAAGACACCGAGGACCGCGCCUACCAAGAUGAAUACCAGGGAUAAGGUGCUUAAGUUAUCAAUGUUCUUGUCUCCUGGAAAUUAGGAGAUCGUGCUCCCAAUUGACACUGCAACGAGCCGCACUUCAAGUUUUCUGGAGCACACUUGAUGAAUCUUCCACUGGAGUCACUACCGCAGUGGCCAUUGAUGGAACCUUUCGAGUUGAACUGUUCG